AUUGAACGCUGGCGGCAGGCUUAACACAUGCAAGUCGAGCGAGCGGCGGACGGGUGAGUAAUGUCUGGGAAACUGCCUGAUGGAGGGGGAUAACUACUGGAAACGGUAGCUAAUACCGCAUACCAUCAGAUGUGCCCAGAUGGGAUUAGCUAGUAGGUGGGGUAAUGGCUCACCUAGGCGACGAUCCCUAGCUGGUCUGAGAGGAUGACCAGCCACACUGGAACUUGGACACGGUUAAAACUCCUACGGGGGGCAGGAGUGGGGAAUUUUGGACAAUGGGGGCAAGCCUGAUGGAGCCAUGGCGGGGGGGUUAAGAAGGCCUUUGGGUUUUAAAGCACCUUUAGGCGGGAAGCGGUACUCGCAGAAGAAGCACCGGCUAACUCCGUGCCAGCAGCCGCGGUAAUAC
rnacentral:rRNA from 1 species